UACGGGGGGGGCAAGCGUUGUUCGGAAUUACUGGGCGUAAAGGGCCCGUAGGCGGCCAACUAAGUCGGAUGUGAAAUCCCCAGGCUCAACUUGGGAACUGCAUCCGAUACUGGAUGGCUUGAAUUCGGGAGAGGGAUGCAGAAUUCCAGGUGUAGCGGUGAAAUGCGUAGAUAUCUGGAGGAAUACCGGUGGCGAAGGCGGCAUCCUGGACCGACACUGACGCUGAACGGCGAAAGCUAGGGGAGCAAACGGG
rnacentral:rRNA from 1 species